rnacentral:rRNA from 1 species
UCCCAGACUCCUACGGGAGGCAGCAGUGGGGAAUAUUGCACAAUGGGGGAAACCCUGAUGCAGCAACGCCGCGUGAGUGAAGAAGUAUUUCGGUAUGUAAAGCUCUAUCAGCAGGGAAGAAGAUGACGGUACCUGAUUAAGAAGCCCCGGCUAACUACGUGCCAGCAGCCGCGGUAAUACGUAGGGGGCAAGCGUUAUCCGGAUUUACUGGGUGUAAAGGGAGCGCAGACGGCAGUGCAAGUCUGGAGUGAAAGCCCGGGGCCCAACCCCGGAACUGCUCUGGAAACUGUGCGGCUAUAGUACUGGAGGGGCAGGCGGAAUUCCUAGUGUAGCGGUGAAAUGCGUAGAUAUUAGGAGGAACACCAGUGGCGAAGGCGGCCUGCUGGACAGUAACUGACGUUGAGGCUCGAAAGCGUGGGGAGCAAACAGGAUUAGAUACCCGGGUAA